rnacentral:rRNA from 1 species
UGCCAGCCGCCGCGGUAAUACGGGGGGUGCAAGCGUUAUCCGGAUUCACUGGGUUUAAAGGGUGCGUAGGCGGACUGAUAAGUCAGUGGUGAAAUCUCAUGGCUCAACCAUGGAAUUGCCAUUGAAACUAUUAGUCUUGAGUUCAGUUGAUGUGGGCGGAAUAUAGCAUGUAGCGGUGAAAUGCGCAGAUAUGCUAUAGAACACCAAUUGCGAAGGCAGCUCACAAAACUGUUACUGACGCUGAGGCACGAAAGCGUGGGGAGCAAACAGGAUUAGAUA